CCCUUCUGCACCAAGCUCAGCUGCUUUUUCCUUACAGUUUUCAAGCGGUUCCCAGCCAGGCUCCACACAGGUGGUCAUCACAGCUCAAGUCAAGACAGAAAAGGUGUUUUACUAGAGAAAACACCCACAUUUUACUCAAGAUACAAGCAAGACUCACGGGACUGUUUUAUCACUUUUACACGCCGAAAUGCCUUUCCAGCCUCCACUCUUAAGAGAGUCACUGUAGAGAGGAAGAGGAGGAAUGAUUCCUUUAUGGGUUCUGAGCUUGGUGACAACCUGGUUUCUAGGCAAACACAGGCUUGUCAUGUCUCCUCUAUGGUAUGUUUAUAACACCUUUAGUUCACACUGCUGAAAUCUUUUGAGAAAAAGGUGGAAUUACAGGUCUCUGCUUAAACCCAGUGGUGAUCUGGACCCAAGUGACAAUGUCAUGAGGCCUAGGCUUUGCUUCCUAUUCACAUGUCUUCUACCAGGCUUAUCUCCUGGGCUACGGGUCAGAGGCUUCCUUUCCUAGAAUGCUGUUAUUAGAGAGCUCUCUGAACCAGGGUGGAGUCUACCCUGGUUUCACAAUGUCAUUGUAUUAUCUGGUAGAGAAGGCUUUCCAUAUGUGUAUGGAGUCUCCAGUAAUAAUUCUCAAAGUAGAACCUGUUGUUCUGUCUCUCAUUUUAUUAACAUUUGGAAGAUGAUGAACCCCAUUUUUAUUUCUGGCACAGACUUGAGGUUUCCUUAAGAGCUCCCUCCUGAGAACACAGUGACCAGUGGAAGUGGCCCUGAGUGGAAGAGCCAAGUGGGAACAAGUGAGCAAACAGUCCCCAGCACUAGCACAAAGUGGCCAGAAAGGAUCCACGACGUGUCCCUGCAAUCAGAGAAGAGUACUUUCAUCUCCUCUUUCAACAUAACAAGAACGUAUAAAACCAUUCUGACUGCCAAAGAUGCUGAGUAAUAUAAAAGUUGUACCAUUUUUUAAAGAUGAUUUAAUAAAAGUGCUAAGAGAACCAGACUAAGAACCAGUGCUAAGAGCUGUUGUC